UACGUAGGGUGCAAGCGUUUGUCCGGAAUUAUUGGGCGUAAAGAGCUCGUAGGCGGUUUGUCGCGUCGGCUGUGAAAACCCGAGGCUCAACCUCGGGCCUGCAGUCGAUACGGGCAAACUAGAGUGCGGUAGGGGAGACUGGAAUUCCUGGUGUAGCGGUGAAAUGCGCAGAUAUCGGGAGGAACACCAAUGGCGAAGGCAGCUCGCUGGGACGUGACUGACGCUGAGACGCGAAAAGCGUGGGGAGCAAACAGGG
rnacentral:rRNA from 1 species